UUUUUUUUUCUUUUGGAGAGCAUGACUGAUACUGUACUGCGUCCUGUCCAAAGCUCUCUGUUAAAGCAACACAGAGGCUUCCGAUGCGUCUUAACCAGGUUAUGUUUCAUUUGCCACGCAGAUCGUCCAUCCCACUGUGAGUAUGCGGCGCCGCGGCGCCUCGUCGUAUUCAGACAGCCCAUCUGUAGACGGGCACCUGUUGCCCGUCGUUUUACUUUCUCGAAUCUCCACGCGGUGGCUGACUGAUCAUUUUUGUGUGUUUUUUUAAAGUCAACACAUUUGUGUUUGCAUACAUGUGUGUUCCCCAAGCCCCCCCCCCCCCCCAGAGACCAACCAAAUGCUUCCCAUUUGAAAUCUCAGCGCGAAGCUUUCAAGUGUUUGACCUAAUUUCUCUGGCAGCAAAAAAUCCGCCGGUGAAGGCCUUCCUCUGUUUGUGUGUGUGCGCGCACACACACACGCAGCUCUGGGUGUUUCCUCCUCGCCUUUUUCUAACAGGAAGCUGAUGCGGAGUUCAGCUGAGGACAGGGGGAAAAGGCCUUUUCUUUCCACUCAGAAUCAUUUCAGAGUGAAAAAAAGAGAAGAGUUGAGAGAGGAGGGAAAAAAAUCCAGCCCUGCUGCAUUGAUUCAACACUCUGCAAUCUGCCCAUUUUUUUUUCUCCUCUUCCCUCCCUGUGUUCACUCUUUUCUGUCUAUUUCAGCAUUUUCUUUUUUACUAUUUUGUAGUUUUUAUGGCAGCAAAUGGUUCAGUUUGUGCCGAUUUAAUGUUCCCAAUAAUGUGAGGAGGUUUCUUUUAGUUGGAGGGGAGCUAAGGAAGCUUGCAAAUGAAGCCGAGCCCCGUGGAGGUUUUUUCGGUUCAGUUUCGACAUACCCACAGCAAAGAGGCAAGCCGUGCUCUGCACCAAGGAAGAAGAGAAAUUAAAGCACACCCACCCAACUAUCUGGGCUAAGGGUGAGCAGCACGUGGAGCAGCAGCGGCAUCAGGGAGGAGGUGAAGCCGGCACAGACCAACAAGAAUACUGGAAAAGGAUGAUGGAUCUCUGAGAUGUUCCACCCACCCCCAGUGGAACGUGUGACCUGACGUGGGCUUAAGACAUACCUCAUUUGAAAGGCUUCUGCAGAGGAGAGCAUUGGUGAGCACAACAUUUUUGCUUCAUACCAAAGCGUGAAUAAAUGUUCAGUGAUCUAUGAAACAGCCUUAUAAGUGAUUGCGGUUGCACAUGCUCGGAAAUACUUCAUAUUGUAUGAGAAAAAGACUAAAAUAGUUCCCGUCAGGUUGCCAUGUUCACUCUAGUUGAACAGAAUGAGAUCAAAUAUAUCGGGAAGUGGUAUCUAAAUAUUAAGUGGAACGUUUGGAUCUAUCUUCCUGCCUUUUAUACUUUGGUCACAACUGCCCUUACAGGUGGAUACGGGCUGUCUGAGGGCAAAAAAUGGGCAAACCUCUACAGGGCACUGAGGUAACCCGCACGAAAUAUCAAUAUCGUAGGCCGUUGGCGAUCCCGUAGAGCGAAAUUGUUCAUGCACGUUUUUUUCUAUGGGUAUGCCGCGGUCGACGAAUCCUAGCAAACACUUAUACGACCCGUAAAGGUGAACUAGGUAAGAUGCAGGCGUGUCGUAUGGGUUUUUUUUUCAAUCCCCCCAAAUCCUGCACACUAAGCGGGGAGCCUAUUCGUGCUGUUAAAGUGGUAAGUUGCACUCCUUCCAUGCAGCCUGACUGUUAGAAUUUAGGAAAUUAGACAGCCCUAUGGGCGUCCUACAGGGACUUGCAUAUCACGUGCACACCCUGAUGCUGCGGCAUUUGCACGCCACCGGUAAGGAUUCAGUAUGCGCACCUUACAAACAACUAAAUUGUGGUGUAAGGGCAACGUAUGACUGCAUCAGCCGUACGCCAUAAGUGCAUCUUUACAAAUACCUAACGAUAUAGUUACUACACCCACAACAAUGGUACGCUCCUCUUUCAUGACAUCGCCUUGAGUUGGCAGUAUGAGCCUAGAGGGAACUAAAAGACACACCUGCGCUCCCCUUGAGAUGCAGCCGCACCUCUCUACGACCCCAUACGGGCCCGGACAACCCAAAAACUCCCAGCAUGACUAAGGCCUAAGUAGCUUCUUUUUGAAAGGGUGACUUCAUGGGAUAAGUCCACAGUUUUGAAGACAUUGUGAGCGUUUGAUUUAUUGCUUUUAAAUGGAGUUUAAUGUUGUAAUCAGACAAAGUGUUUAGGUGUGUUUGAAUGUCUGACUGCUGUCGCUGUCUUACUGUGUCUGUCUCUAAGGAAACGAAACACAAAUACAAGACUAUUUGUGGAUGAUUUCCAAGCAGAAAUGUGUAAACGAGUUGAUGGGAACAUAUUUUUCACUGCGAGAACUCGACUUUAGCCGAUCAUUGUACCUCGCCAAAAUGAAUUGGUCUCAAGCAGGAGGUUAUAAUUUUGUUUAGAACCAUAUCUGUGGGAUAGCAGAGAAAAAAGUCUGUCCCCCCCCUGCCAUUUUUCAACGCACCCCAAAAAGUUAAUAACGCUUUGAAGCAAAAAAUGUAGGAUUUGCAUUUAAUACAGUAUCACUGUGUGUAGUAUAGAGAGUUCCUCUGUGCUGCUACUGGUUAGUUUUGAGCAUGAAAGUGUAUUGGACGGACUAAAUAAGAGAAAUGGAAAAAUCUUCCGACACCAGAGUUUCUAGGGGUGGGGGGGUGGCUUAAUUUUUUUUUUUUACUUUACACUCCCCAUUUUGUUAGAUACAGACGCACAAAAGGCUGUAGGUGAAUAUGAAACUGUUAACGUGCUGCAGUACUGUCUCUAAUGGCAAAGUAACAAUCAGUUUGUAGGAUUCCUGCUGGAAUACUUAGAUGAUUCCCUUCUAAUGUUCGCGUUGAGCCACCGUUUGGACUUCGCUUCCAAUUAUGGCUCCAAACUCUCCCAGAGCCCGGCGUCAGGUGCUGCCCUCGGCCAGCCAGCCAGCCAGCCAGCCAGCCAGCCAGGCCUGUGUCCGUGCCCAGAGAGCCCGACCUGGCAGCUCCAAGGCUGCGACGUGUGAAACGCUGCACACAAAGGGACUCCCUCCAUCUGUAUGCAGCCUACAUAGGCAGGCUUUUGUUGCAGUCGACAGGCACAUGACUGCUAGCAUCUUAACCCCUGAGAGCCAGCGUCUCUCUUCUCCACUCACUGAACUGUACACUGAAGGAGAAACCAGUCAAUCAACACAAAAAAAAGCUGUUUAAUAUAGUUUUGCAUUCUAGAAUGUGCUUUUUAAUCAUGUGAUGCUAUAAUUAGGUUUUGUUUUGGGUUCAUACUCAUUAUUUAAUAGAAUUUUUUUAAGUUUCAUUUGAAAAUGAAUGUUGGGCAAUAAUACAGGAAAAAUAAAUCCAGAUUAUUUCUGUUGGAAAGUCAUAAAAAUAGUUAUUAGGAAUAUUUUUCAUCUAUAAAUGCAUUAAUGCAUAUGUUAUAGAAUCUCUGUUACUUUUCAAAGAACUUACAAAACAUCCAAGUCAACUAAAAAAAUAUAAAAAUAUAUAUUUAUUUUUAGGGGGUCAUAGUAAAAAAAAGUGUUAAGAUGCAUAAACAUGCAGUCAUAACCUAUAAAUGACAGACAACUUUUCAGAUUGGAGGCUUUUUUUAAAAGUUUGUUUCUGUUGACUUAUCUUUUUUUUUUAAUUACAAAAAACUGCCGAAGUGAAAUUCUUCAACUUUUUAAAAACUGAAGGUUUUUGAAGUUAUAAAUUAUGUAAAUUUAAAAAGCGAGUCCCUUUUAUUUCGUCCUUAACUUAAAGAAAUAUUUGGAAUGACUUUUUAUGUCUUCUAUGUCACUAAGCGGUCAAAAAAACUAAAUUUUGUUUUUUUUUUUAACAUAAAAUAUCCAUAUUGUUGGUUUUAUGUUUGGAAAAGCUGGCGGGCCUGUAAGCCUUUUACCACAUGCAGCGUAGAAUGUUCCAGACACACACGUGCAGAAAUAGGAACUCUUUCCAAAACCUUUAGUCAGACGGACUCGAUCAGAAUAAGUAGAACUCUUUCUAAAGUUCCACCUUUCAUGAAAGAAACAUGAACAAAAAAAGCUAUCCUAUAAAGUUCUCCCAGGACCUUCCUGGCUGGGUCCGAUCCUGAGGAAGGCUGGGGGUACCAGAGGCUGCCGUUUGGGCCGAGCCAGGUCCACUCAGGCCCGUCCAGGCUUCAGAGGCUGUGUGACGUGGCAUUAAACUAGAACCAACAGCAGGUCCGAACGCUUUAGGAGGUGGUACCAGUCUCUGAGAACAUGAGAGAGCUGCAAACGUGUUUGAUAAGAGCUGCUUUAAAAAAAGAAUCCCGAUGUUUCUGUGUGAGGGCCCUGACAUGUGAACAGUUCACACCACCGUCAGAGAGGUGUGUUUCUGUGGAGGAAAGAAGAGAGGUAAGUUUAAAAAAAUAGAUAGAUUACACUUUUUUCUUAUUCAUAUAGUUAGAAAUCUGAUUUAUUUUUAACAUAUAGAAAUGAAUUAACUUUGAAAAAAUUCAGCUCUUGAUUUGUAUUAAAAGUUUUUUUUUUAUGAUGUAGUUUUAUGCACAGCUUUACUGUUCUUGUGUAUUUUAUUGUUUUCUUUUGUUGCUCAAAUUAGAUUUUAUAAAUUAAAAUAAAUACCAAAGAUAAAAAUGUAAAUGCAAACUAAAUUAGAUAAACUUUUUUAAUGAAACAAACUUUUUCAGUUGAACUGGUUGCAAAAAAAGGCUGAUAAAGUGGAAUCUUUUCGAGGACAGUGAUUCUCCCGACGCCCAGACUUCACUUAAACGAAGAAGAAGCACAGAAAAGAGAAGCUGUGAAGCUGCCACAGUGCUGCUGGAUUUACAGGAUUUACUGUUGUUUUUAAAAGCCGUUUAGGACACGUCGUCUGUAGCGAUAGCAGGUCCAUUUUCUCCUUUCCUUCCCAAGCUUGGCUCUGCUGUCCUGCCGUGCAGCCUCCCUCCACACACAGAAGCUCGGCUUUUUUUUGGUUAAUUAUUAUCAAGGAAAUGCAUUUGAGUCAAAGUGCUUCGAUAAUGCACUUGAUACCACUUAGUUUACAACAAAUUAUGUGUUUUCUUAACUUAAAAGUUCUACAUUUACUCUUUCAGCACAUAUUUAAUUGUUUUUUCCUUUUAACAAAAAUAAAACUAAAUUAAAAAAACAUUUGAAACUGUUAAAAUACAGUAAUUUUAAGGUUGGAUUUCAAUUUUAAAAAAAAGUUUUAUUCUGUGGUUUGGGAACCAAUUUUAGUAAAACAUUUUUGGUGUUAAUAGAUUUUUCCAAACUUCUCUCUCUUAGCUCAUGUACAAAUUCAUAAGGAUAAAGAAAAUGUCAAAUGAAAAACCUUAAGUAAUUUAUAAAUUAAUAUCCACAUCUCAACUUGAAUCCAUUUAAAUAUGUAGGAAAACCACCAAUUUUGCUUUUCUCCUUUUGUAGAUUUGUUUCUUAUAAAUAAGGUUUGAUAGAUUUAAUGUAUGAAAAUCCCACAAUAUUCAUUUAGAUAAUGUAAAAAAAACCUCAAAUUUAACAGUAAAUAAUUGCAUUUUUGUAAAGAUGCUUUUUUUAAACCAAAAAUGUGCAUUUUGGUUCAAAUAAAUGUUAAAUUUUGUGUCAUUAGAACAUACUCCUAAUUGUUCCUUUUUAACAAAUCUUUACAUUUAGGGAAUUUGGGGAACUAAGUUAAACAAAUGAAGGUGAAGCUGGAAUCUGUUUGCACGAGUUUUAAGUGAAAAAAUUUGACCGUUUGGUCUUUUUUCCAGACCAUUUUUCAUUUAAUGUCUAAAAUAAAAAUGAGUUUUAGUAAAUGUAGUUUCUGCUUCUGUAAACGAUGCUCUCAAACCUUUUAAUUCACAUUAGGAGACAAAUUCAUUAUUGUGCAGCCAUGCGCCAUUUAAAAAAAGAAAAAAGAAAAA